rnacentral:rRNA from 1 species
UACGUAGGUGGCAAGCGUUGUCCGGAUUUAUUGGGUUUAAAGGGUGCGUAGGCGGUUCUAUAAGUCAGUGGUGAAAUCCGGCAGCUCAACUGUCGAUGUGCCAUUGAUACUGCAGAACUUGAGUACAGACGAGGUAGGCGGAAUUGACGGUGUAGCGGUGAAAAUGCUUUAGAUAUCGUCAAGAACACCGAUAGCGAAGGCAGCUUACUAGACUUGUAAC